AUGGCGGGCACGUUCGCCGCCUACCCCUUCGGCUGGGAGGUGGACUCCGGCACCCUGGUGGCCCCGCAAGGACGCAGGCAAGACUGGAGGCUGACCAGCAGCGGAGUGGGGCUCAAUUACACGCCCCCUCUGCCUUUCCCGCCGCCUUAUGCACGAUCUACCAUCCACGAGCCGCUGCCCCCCGCAUCCGAAAAAGGGUUCCGAGAUGAGGUCCUUCCAAGGCUGGCCACCAUCUAUCAACUCGCUUAUGUCCCGAAGACCCACGGCGGCGUCCUCAGUCAGCCCCGCUAUUCCGUCGCCGACGCACACUGGAAUGUCCACUACAAUAAAGAUUUGCGGGAGAAGCUGAAACUGCGGGCAUGGAGGUUUCCACUGACUAUGGGCAACCAGAAGAGCGAGACUCGGGACCGUUAUCCCGGCUGGCCCAAUCUGCCUCAUGAGCCAACCUUCCAUGCUGGACCUCAGCCUUUUGCGUUAGCAGCUCAUCACACCGAAGGAGCAUCCAAGUCCGUCGUGGCCAGCACACGGAAUGAAGAACUGGCAGGCAGGCCUUUCUAUGUCCGUGACAAGGCGGUUCUGCGGCUCAAUGAACCUUAUAUGUCCGUUACCACCCGAGACUUCCGGGCCUUCACAGAGAAGGAGCUGCAGGGCUCCCCUCAGAAGGAUGCUCUCACCUACUGGCAGUGGGAAGGCCUUGCAAAGGGCCGUGGCUCGAAGGAGAAUGCCCAGGCAAAGGACGUCUAUCCCCUAAUCCGUCAACCUGGACCAAUGCGGGACAUCAGACAGUUCCCUACAGCUACUCGAGUGCCCCGUCUGCCCCCAAACAAUGUUGCUGUUCCCCACCAUGGAUUGCUCAGCCUCGCAAAGGAGUCUUACCAACCACCCCACGACUACAAGCGCACGUGGGACCGCUUUUGCCCGGUGGAAAAGCCACCCACAGUCUCUUACCGGGUGCCUAUCGUGGAAAUCAUGUGUGUGCCACACAUGUAUGAGACGGAGUAUAAAUGUUACGGCAGUGGCAAACCCAUGCCAGUGUGAGAGGCUGCAGGUGGCGAUUACUUCCACAGUGGGGCUGCUUUCUUUACUCCCAUUCAGGCAAACAGAUUCUGGAUAUCACUGGAUUUUGCAUUCAUUUUGCAGAAAAAAAAACAAUAAAGGCUGCUGUUAAAGAGCCUUCA
rnacentral:lncRNA from 1 species